rnacentral:rRNA from 1 species
UACGAAGGGGGCUAGCGUUGUUCGGAAUUACUGGGCGUAAAGCGCGUGUAGGCGGCAGACCAAGUCGGCGGUGAAAGCGCCCGGCUCAACUGGGCGAGGUCCGUGGAAACUGGUCAGCUGGAGGACGGUAGAGGCGAGUGGAAUUCCCGGUGUAGUGGUGAAAUGCGUAGAGAUCGGGAGGAACACCUGUGGCGAAGGCGGCUCGCUGGGCCGGUCCUGACGCUGAGACGCGAAGGCGUGGGGAGCGAACGGG